ensembl:snRNA U6 U6 spliceosomal RNA
GUGCUCGCUUCGGAGGCACAUAUACUAAAAUUGGAAUGACACAAAGAAGAUUAGCAUGGCCCCUGCACAAGGAUGACAUCCAAAUUCAUGAAAUGUUCCAUAUUUAG